UUCGCCCUUAGAGUUUGAUCCUGGCUCAGGACGAACGCUGGCGGCGUGCCUAACACAUGCAAGUCGAACGGACGAGGCCCUUCGGGGCCGAGUUAGUGGCGAACGGGUGAGUAACGCGUGAACAACCUGCCUUUCUGAGGGGGAUAACACCUGGAAACAAGUGCUAAUACCGCAUAAGACCACAGUGCCGCAUGACACAGGGGUCAAAGGAGCGAUCCGCAGGAAGAGGGGUUCGCGUCCCAUUAGCUAGUUGGCGGGGCAACGGCCCACCAAGGCGACGAUGGGUAGCCGAGCUGAGAGGCUGAUCGGCCACACUGGAACUGAGACACGGUCCAGACUCCUACGGGAGGCAGCAGUGGGGAAUAUUGGGCAAUGGGCGCAAGCCUGACCCAGCAACGCCGCGUGAGGGAAGAAGGCCUUCGGGUUGUAAACCUCUGUCCUUGGUGACGAAGGAAGUGACGGUAGCCAAGGAGGAAGCCCCGGCUAACUACGUGCCAGCAGCCGCAGUAAUACGUAGGUGGCGAGCGUUGUCCGGAAUGAUUGGGCGUAAAGGGAGCGCAGGCGGGAAAGUAAGUCUAUCUUAAAAGUGCGGGGCUCAACCCCGUGAGGGGAUGGAAACUAUUUUUCUUGAGUGCAGGAGAGGAAAGCGGAAUUCCUAGUGUAGCGGUGAAAUGCGUAGAUAUUAGGAGGAACACCAGUGGCGAAGGCGGCUUUCUGGACUGUAACUGACGCUGAGGCUCGAAAGCCAGGGGAGCGAACGGGAUUAGAUACCCCGGUAGUCCUGGCCGUAAACGAUGAAUACUAGGCGUAGGAGGUAUCGACCCCUUCUGUGCCGGAGUUAACGCAAUAAGUAUUCCGCCUGGGGAGUACGGCCGCAAGGCUGAAACUCAAAGGAAUUGACGGGGGCCCGCACAAGCGGUGGAGUAUGUGGUUUAAUUUGACGCAACGCGAAGAACCUUACCAGGGCUUGACAUUGAGUGAAAGGACUAGAGAUAGUCCCCUCCCUUCGGGGACACGAAAACAGGUGGUGCAUGGCUGUCGUCAGCUCGUGUCGUGAGAUGUUGGGUUAAGUCCCGCAACGAGCGCAACCCCUAUCUUUUGUUGCCAGCACGUAACGGUGGGAACUCAAGAGAGACUGCCGCGGACAACGCGGAGGAAGGCGGGGAUGACGUCAAGUCAUCAUGCCCCUUAUGUCCUGGGCUACACACGUACUACAAUGGGAUGGACAGAGAGCAGCGAAGCCGUGAGGCGAAGCGAACCCCAUAAACCAUCUCCCAGUUCGGAUUGCAGGCUGCAACCCGCCUGCAUGAAGUCGGAAUCGCUAGUAAUCGCAGGUCAGCAUACUGCGGUGAAUACGUUCCCGGGCCUUGCACACACCGCCCGUCA
rnacentral:rRNA from 1 species